GACGAACGCUGGCGGCGUGCUUAACACAUGCAAGUCGAACGGUAAGGCCCUUCGGGGUACACGAGUGGCGAACGGGUGAGUAACACGUGGGUGAUCUGCCCUGCACUUCGGGAUAAGCCUGGGAAACUGGGUCUAAUACCGGAUAGGACUCCGGACUGCAUGGUCUGGGGUGGAAAGCUUUUGCGGUGUGGGAUGGGCCCGCGGCCUAUCAGCUUGUUGGUGGGGUGAUGGCCUACCAAGGCGACGACGGGUAGCCGGCCUGAGAGGGUGACCGGCCACACUGGGACUGAGAUACGGCCCAGACUCCAACGGGAGGCAGCAGUGGGGAAUAUUGCACAAUGGGCGCAAGCCUGAUGCAGCGACGCCGCGUGAGGGAUGACGGCCUUCGGGUUGUAAACCUCUUUCAGCAUCGACGAAGCGACAGUGACGGUAGGUGCAGAAGAAGGACCGGCCAACUACGUGCCAGCCGCCGCGGUAA
rnacentral:rRNA from 1 species